rfam:Salmo salar isolate Sally breed double haploid chromosome ssa25, whole genome shotgun sequence.
UGCAUUCACUACUGUAAGUCGCUCUGGAUAAGAGCGCCUGCUAUAAAUGACUAAAA